rnacentral:rRNA from 1 species
AUGGACCGCAAGCGCAUCAACGACGCGCUCGACAGGCACCUGCGGGCGGCCACGGAGCGGUCGUCGCCCUCCACCUCCCGCGGCGCCAAGCCCAAGCCGCCCCCCGCCGCCGCCCCCAAACCCAAAGAGCAGCUGGAUUCGGACAGCAGCGAGGGGGGCAGCGCCGGCGGGUCCUCGGAGGCGGACGACACGUUCUGGAUCAACUGGUUCUGCGCCAUGAGGGGCAACGAGUUCUUCGCCGAGGUCGACGACGACUACAUCCAGGACGACUUCAACCUCUGCGGCCUCAGCGCCCAGGUCCCCUACUACGACCACGCCCUCGAUCUCAUCCUCGACCUCGAGCCCGUCCAGGGCGAUGUGUUUGCCGAUGACCAGAAUGAGCUGAUUGUCGCGUCCGCGGAGAUGCUUUACGGUUUGAUCCACGCCCGGUACAUCUUGACCACCAAGGGCUUGGCUGCCAUGCUGGAGAAGUUCAAGAACUGCGACUUUGGAAGGUGCCCCCGCGUGUCCUGCUCUGGUCAGCCCUGUCUUCCAAUGGGGCAGUCCGAUAUCCCUAGGUCCAGUACCGUGAAGAUAUAUUGUCCCAAAUGCGAAGAUCUCUACUACCCCAGAUCGAAGCACCAAGCCAAUACAGACGGAGCAUACUUUGGGACGACGUUUCCUCAUAUUUUCAUGAUGACCCACUCACAACUGAAGCCACAGAAGCCAGCACAGCAAUACGUUCCCCGGAUAUUCGGCUUCAAAGUUCACAAGAAAACAUGA